GGGCCGCUAGCUCAGUAGGUAGAGCACCUGACUCUUAAUCAGGUGGCCGUGGGUUCGAGUCCCACGCGGCCCACCA
rnacentral:tRNA from 6 species